GCGUGCCUAACACAUGCAAGUCGAACGAGAAAGCUCCUUCGGGAGUUAGUAGAGUGGCGCACGGGUGAGUAACACGUGGAUAAUCUGCCUGAUAAUCUGGGAUAACAUUUCGAAAGGGAUGCUAAUACCGGAUAAGCCCACAGCCUCUUCGGAGGCAGCGGGAAAAGAUGGCCUCUUCUUGAAAGCUAUUGUUAUCAGAUGAGUCCGCGGUCCAUUAGCUAGUUGGUAGGGUAAUGGCCUACCAAGGCAACGAUGGAUAGCUGGUUUGAGAGAAUGAUCAGCCACACUGGAACUGAGACACGGUCCAGACUCCUACGGGAGGCAGCAGUGGGGAAUUUUGCGCAAUGGGGGAAACCCUGACGCAGCAACGCCGCGUGAGUGAUGAAGGUUUUCGGAUCGUAAAGCUCUGUCAAGAGGGAAGAAACCUCCAAUGGUUAAUAUCUGUUGGAAUUGACGGUACCUCUAGAGGAAGCACCGGCUAACUCCGUGCCAGCAGCCGCGGUAAUACGGAGGGUGCAAGCGUUGUUCGGAAUUAUUGGGCGUAAAGCGCGUGUAGGCGGUUUGUUAAGUCUGAUGUGAAAGCCCCGGGCUCAACCUGGGAAGUGCAUUGGAAACUGGCAAACUUGAGUACGGGAGAGGGAAGUGGAAUUUCGAGUGUAGGGGGUGAAAUCCGUAGAUAUUCGAAGGAACACCAGUGGCGAAGGCGGCUUCCUGGACCGAUACUGACGCUGAGACGCGAAAGCGUGGGGAGCAAACAGGAUUAGAUACCCUGUAGUCCACGCCGUAAACGAUGGGUACUAGGUGUUGCGGGUAUUGACCCCUGCAGUGCCGAAGCUAACGCAUUAAGUACCCCGCCUGGGGA
rnacentral:rRNA from 1 species